CCUACGGGAGGCAGCAGUAGGGAAUCUUCCACAAUGGGCGAAAGCCUGAACCAGCCAAGUAGCGUGAAGGAUGACUGCCCUACGGGUUGUAAACUUCUUUUAUAAAGGAAUAAAGUGAGGCACGUGUGCCUUUUUGUAUGUACUUUAUGAAUAAGGAUCGGCUAACUCCGUGCCAGCAGCCGCGGUAAUACGGAGGAUCCGAGCGUUAUCCGGAUUUAUUGGGUUUAAAGGGAGCGUAGAUGGGUUGUUAAGUCAGUUGUGAAAGUUUGCGGCUCAACCGUAAAAUUGCAAUUGAUACUGGCAGCCUUGAGUACAGUUGAGGUAGGCGGAAUUCGUGGUGUAGCGGUGAAAUGCUUAGAUAUCACGAAGAACUCCGAUUGCGAAGGCAGCCUACUAAACUGCCACUGACAUUGAUGCUCGAAAGUGUGGGUAUCAAACAGGAUUAGAUACCCUUGUAGUC
rnacentral:rRNA from 1 species